rnacentral:rRNA from 1 species
GGGCCCGCACAAGCGGAGGAACAUGUGGUUUAAUUCGAUGAUACGCGAGGAACCUUACCCGGGCUUGAAUUGCAUCCGAUGUAUUCGGAGACGGAUAUUCCGCGAGGCGGAUGUGAAGGUGCUGCAUGGUUGUCGUCAGCUCGUGCCGUGAGGUGUCGGCUUAAGUGCCAUAACGAGCGCAACCCUGAUUUCCAGUUACCAUCGGUUUGGGCCGGGGGACUCUGGAGAGACUGCCGUCGUAAGAUGUGAGGAAGGUUGGGAUGACGUCAAAUCAGCACGGCCCUUACGUCCGGGGCUACACACGUGUUACAAUGGGGGGUACAGAGGGUCGCUCCACGGCGACGUGCUGCCAAUCCUAAAAUCCCCUCUCAGUUCGGAUUGGAGUCUGCAACCCGACUCCAUGAAGCUGGAUUCGCUAGUAAUCGCGCAUCAGCCAUGGCG